CCCAUUCUUUAGCCAGACUCUCCGGCACAGAAUUCGUUCGCCUGCGCCGUGGAAUCGUUAUAUGUUUGCAGCUGGUCCUCCAUAAAGACAAUCACGUGAACAGCUCCAGCGCAGUAAAUCUGUCAAGUUUCUGUUGCAGCUUCGAGAAUAAACAUCAGAAAUGAGCCUAAAGAAAUGUCAAGUCGAUGUCGUUAUCGUAGGGUCAUGUAAUAUGGACCUGAUAAGCUAUGUGUCCCGAUUUCCCAAGCCUGGGGAAACCAUUCACGGAAAGCGAUUUAGCACAGGAUUUGGAGGAAAAGGAGCCAAUCAAUGUGUUAUGGCUUCAAGAUUAGGUGCAAGAACUGCUAUGGUGGGCAAGGUUGGAGAUGAUUCUUAUGGCAGAGAUACAAUAAAGAACUUUAAAGAUAACGAUGUCAUUACAGGUAAAUAUGAUCAUAUUAAUGACAAUACAUGAGAUUCGUAUAGCGCACUUUCCAUCUUGAUUAGAUGCUCAAGGCGCUUCAGAGCAGAACAACAAAAACUGUCUACAUAUAAUACUUGUCUGAACAAUAUGUCAAUGUCUAUCAAAAAGCACUCUUAAACAGGUAUGUUUCAGGUGGUAAUUUGAGAAUAUUUUAAGCAGUCAGUUUUAUAACUCAAUUCUAAUACUUAGCUUGUGAGUAUAUUGCUGAUUGAUCUACAUUAGCUUUGUCUUCACUCCAUUUAGUUUCAUCUCACAUGGUCUAAUCAUACUUCAUCUUCAAAUUUCAGCCCAUUAUGGUUUCUUAUUUCCAUUUAGGCUAUACCCAUUUUGUAUAAUAUUCACUAGACCAACUAGGCAACAGACUUUUCAAAAUUAAUGUGAAUGUGCAAAAUGCAAGCUGAAAAUGUUUACUGACCUGAAAAAAGCACAAUUCAAGGACUGUUUGUGGGAAUGCAUGAAGAGGAUAUAAAAAAAUGCAAAUGCGUAGUGGGGGCACCUUCAAUUUUGAAAAUAAGGUGUGAAAGAAAAACAUAUCUUAAAAAAAUUGAAAUUUUUACAACAAAUCUAAGUACAAAAAAAUGCUGCACUUAAUUCAAAACCCAUGUCAUUUUCACCAAAUUUUGCAUGGUCAUAGAGAAAGGUAUACUAAAAAGGUGUGAACACUAAAAUUGUGGGUUCAUGUGCUUGUUUUUAAACAAUACACACUUUUGUUGGAGCAAAUGUGCUUUUAAAAACACAAAAAUGCGGUCAUAUUCGUCAUACUUCACAGCACUGCAGAGUAAAGUAUUCUGAAGAGGCAAAGGCUUUUAAAAAGUUGGUUCGUAGAUUAUUUUCAGCUAAUAGCUUUGUAAAAUAAUAUAAUGUUUUGCUGUUAGAGUGCAGAUGCUUGGUAAAAUCAGCUGAUACUUGGAGCUGAUUGCUCAGAUUGAAAAAAAAAAUGGAGCUUUAUAUCAGUCGUUUAUGAUGGAUUAAAGUAGUAAAAAUAAUGACCCAAAUCAUAAUUGAAAAAGAAAAUUGAUUGUGUUAUUAGCAAAGUUUACUUUAAAAAAACAAUACCGGUACACAGAAACACAGGGAUUGUUAUUUUUCAUUUAAAAAAAGAAAAGACUGAUAUCCGCAUCGCAGAU